GUGUCAGCAGCCGCGGUAAAACGUAGGUGGCGAGCGUUAUCCGGAUUCAUUGGGCGUAAAGAGCUUGUAGGUGGCUUCGUAAGUUGGACGUGAAAUCUCCGGGCUUAACUUGGAGGGGCCGUUCAAUACUGCGGGGCUUGAGGAUGUCAGAGGGAAGUGGAAUUCCUGGUGUAGCAGUGAAAUGCGUAGAUAUCAGGAGGAACACCCGUGGCGAAGGCGGCUUCCUGGGGCAUUCCUGACACUGAGAAGCGAAAGCUAGGGGAGCAAACGGGAUUAGAAACCCUGGUAGUCC
rnacentral:rRNA from 1 species